UGAUCCUGUUUUCUAUUGACAGCAGAAGAAAGAGUUUAAGAAGAAAAACUUCUAAACCGGAGAAUGAUGAUGCCAGUAAUGAAACAUACACAGCCCUUGAACUCAAGAGCAGAUCAUCUGAUCUGUAUGAUACACUUACACUCAACAGAUAAAUGCUGAAGUAAGAGGCGGAGCACAAAGAAACAAAUUCUUUCAUAUUUGAUGAUUGACAGAAAUCUUAACAAUAAAGACACAUGAUCAUUUUUUUUAUUUAAAAAGGUUUAACAUAAUUGUAUUGCCUUUACAGCUCAUGAGUCAUUAAAAUACAACCAAAAGUUAAUACAGUAGAUAAUAUAUUAGACAUAUUGAUUGUAAAGCUACAGUUGAGAUCUGUUUGACUCUCCUGGAUUUUUUUUAAAGUGACACAUUUUGAGCAAUAACCUUAAACCACCAGCAGAGGUCACAAGACUCUCAUAAAUGUUGAUGUGAUAUCUAUGUUAUCACGUAUACUGAUCAAAUGUAUAUUAAAUGCCCUGAGAGUCAAGUAAAAUGUAAGAAGUCUGUCAGAGAGUUUGAUUGCUCUUCUGUAAUGAUUAAUGUAAAGUCAGCUGAUCAUUAUAACAAAAUAAGCCCAGACAGAUUCAUCAAGACUCAGACAGAGCCAAGAAAUAUAAACUUGUGUUUGUAGUGACAUCUUGUGG